rnacentral:rRNA from 1 species
UACGUAGGGGGCAAGCGUUGUCCGGAUUUACUGGGCGUAAAGAGCGUGUAGGCGGCCACGCAGGUCCGUUGUGAAAACUGGAGGCUCAACCUCCAGCUGUCGACGGAAACCGUGUGGCUAGAGUCCGGAAGAGGAGAGUGGAAUUCCUGGUGUAGCGGUGAAAUGCGUAGAGAUCGGGAAGAACAUCGGUGGCGAAAGCGCUCUACUGGACGGUGACUGACACUCAGGGACGAAAGCUAGGGGAGCGAAUGGG